UACGAAGGGGGCUAGCGUUGCUCGGAAUCACUGGGCGUAAAGGGCUCGUAGGUGGCCAACUAAGUCAGACGUGAAAUCCCUCAGCUUAACUGGGGAACUGCGUCUGAUACUGGAUGGCUUGAGUUUGGGAGAGGGAUGCGGAAUUCCAGGUGUAGCGGUGAAAUGCGUAGAUAUCUGGAGGAACACCGGUGGCGAAGGCGGUUCUCUGGGAAUGACCUGACGCUGAGGAGCGAAAGUGUGGGGAGCGAACAGG
rnacentral:rRNA from 1 species